CACGUGAGUAACCUGCCCUUAACUCUGGGAUAAGCCUGGGAAACUGGGUCUAAUACCGGAUAUGACUCCUCAUCGCAUGGUGGGGGGUGGAAAGCUUUAUUGUGGUUUUGGAUGGACUCGCGGCCUAUCAGCUUGUUGGUGAGGUAAUGGCUCACCAAGGCGACGACGGGUAGCCGGCCUGAGAGGGUGACCGGCCACACUGGGACUGAGACACGGCCCAGACUCCUACGGGAGGCAGCAGUGGGGAAUAUUGCACAAUGGGCGAAAGCCUGAUGCAGCGACGCCGCGUGAGGGAUGACGGCCUUCGGGUUGUAAACCUCUUUCAGUAGGGAAGAAGCGAAAGUGACGGUACCUGCAGAAGAAGCGCCGGCUAACUACGUGCCAGCAGCCGCGGUAAUACGUAGGGCGCAAGCGUUAUCCGGAAUUAUUGGGCGUAAAGAGCUCGUAGGCGGUUUGUCGCGUCUGCCGUGAAAGUCCGGGGCUCAACUCCGGAUCUGCGGUGGGUACGGGCAGACUAGAGUGAUGUAGGGGAGACUGGAAUUCCUGGUGUAGCGGUGAAAUGCGCAGAUAUCAGGAGGAACACCGAUGGCGAAGGCAGGUCUCUGGGCAUUAACUGACGCUGAGGAGCGAAAGCAUGGGGAGCGAACAGGAUUAGAUACCCUGGUAGUCCAUGCCGUAAACGUUGGGCACUAGGUGUGGGGGACAUUCCACGUUUUCCGCGCCGUAGCUAACGCAUUAAGUGCCCCGCCUGGGGAGUACGGCCGCAAGGCUAAAACUCAAAGGAAUUGACGGGGGCCCGCACAAGCGGCGGAGCAUGCGGAUUAAUUCGAUGCAACGCGAAGAACCUUACCAAGGCUUGACAUGAACCGGAAAUACCUGGAAACAGGUGCCCCGCUUGCGGUCGGUUUACAGGUGGUGCAUGGUUGUCGUCAGCUCGUGUCGUGAGAUGUUGGGUUAAGUCCCGCAACGAGCGCAACCCUCGUUCUAUGUUGCCAGCGCGUUAUGGCGGGGACUCAUAGGAGACUGCCGGGGUCAACUCGGAGGAAGGUGGGGACGACGUCAAAUCAUCAUGCCCCUUAUGUCUUGGGCUUCACGCAUGCUACAAUGGCCGGUACAAAGGGUUGCGAUACUGUGAGGUGGAGCUAAUCCCAAAAAGCCGGUCUCAGUUCGGAUUGGGGUCUGCAACUCGACCCCAUGAAGUCGGAGUCGCUAGUAAUCGCAGAUCAGCAACGCUGCGGUGA
rnacentral:rRNA from 1 species